CUUAGUUGAGUUGAGUUAAGUUGUCUUUUUCUAUAACACAUAAUGGCUCAAGUAAAAUCAAAACCUUUAGUCACCUACUAGUACCAUCCCCAAGAGUAUUAAGUUUAACUUGGAUUGCAUGUAUAGUGAGCCCAAUCUCAUCUAGGAAUCAAUUCAGGAUGCACAUCCGCUUCAGAAGCUUUUGGCUCACAGAUGCAUUCUUGAAGGAUUACUAUUUGUACUCAUCUUGCCAUUCAAGGCCUAUCUCUGUUUAAUACUGUUAUAGUUAUUAUUUCUGAAUUAGUAUAGUGGGAAAAUAUAUGUGCGUACUCAUUUUUGUCCAUUGUUGAGAAUUAUUUAAAAGUUUGGUUAAUUGAUGUGAAAUAUUGAAUUUUUUUUCUCUCAGG
rnacentral:misc_RNA from 1 species